GCAGCAGCAGUUGCAGCAGCACCACAACCACCACCACCAGCAGCAGCAGCAGCAGUAGCAGAAGCCAUCAUGACACUGCAGUGACGUCACUGCACUACCGAUGAAGAGGCAUCAAGAGGCAGACAGCAGCUGCAUAGUAAUCCUGACAGGGAUUAAAGCUACUGUGAUCAACAGAUUUCGAAACCAACUCUCAACUGAAGCGACAGUGCAGUAGCAAUUACCACGUUUCUGCACGCGUACGUCACAUCCGAUUUCAUCAUAAUACUCAACCCGCUGUGCCGAUCGGCUAUUGCUGUUAGAUAUCGAUCAGAUAUUGAUCACCUUCUAUGACGGAUUUCGCAUCGGCUGUCUUAGCUCCUUGCUGUCAUUCCAAAGAAUUCCCAGAACGCCUCAAGAAAAUUGCAAAGACAUCACACACGUUGUGCAUAUAAACAAUUGUAUAUAUUUUCAUAACAGAUCUAAUAAUAUAAUAUUGAAAAAUCAAUUAACAACAAUGAUGUGCGAUUCUUGUCCGUGUCUGAAACUCUGAACAUUUAUACAUCGAUAUAUAAAUACGUUAGUAAUUAGUACUAAUUACGUUAAUUAGUUUAUACACCUUCGUAUGGGAAGCGCGUGAUGCGAAAGACCGAGUUUCAGAUGGACUUACAGUGGUAUGUAAAACGGAAGGUAGUAAGAAUUUGAUUGCUCUGUUCUGUGUGUAUAUUUUGUAAGAUGACAAAAUAAAGGGACAACCGAGUCCUCUAAGUGCUUACAUAAAUUCCAA
rnacentral:lncRNA from 1 species